rnacentral:tRNA from 1 species
GGUUUGCUAGCUCAAUGGAAGAGUAAUCGGCUUUUAACUGAUUUGUUCUGGGUUCGAAUCCCAGGCAUUCCA